GCUUACCAACUCACAUUUAAACAUGCGAUGGGACCAUUGAUGAAAUUGGGGAAGCUGUUGAGGGAUGCCAUUUUUUUAAUUUUCUUUUCUAUUUUUUGACUUGUUAUUUCUUUAUGUAACAAGUCCUAAAUUAGUAGGUGUAAUAUCCGUAUAUUUUAUGAUUUUACAAAUUAUAAAAUUAGAGUUGUGUACUAUAAAAUUUUAUUUUCUUAUCUUAUUUGAUAGAAUUUAUAUCUCUAACCCUACAUUAUUAUUUUAUUUAAAAAAAAAAAGUAAAGCAGCCGAAGCCAGCGUUUUCUUGUUCUUGUGUGCGUCGGAUUCAUCAACCAAACCCAAAAUUAUUUCCUAAGUUUUGUUUCAUUCACCAAUCUCCAUUAGCUUAUUUAUUGAAUCGUAAAGAAAGCCCACAAGAUGUUUGUAUAAUGAAGGCGAGGAAUUGUGACGUCAGUCAAUCUACUUCUUUCUUUCAAUAUAGUAGUUGAUAGUAUUUCGUAGAAAGUCAAGAUUGUUUGAACAGGUUGAUCAAGUGAUCGUAGCUAAAGGAGCUAAAGGAGCUCAAGUGAUCGAUUAGUGUUUUCAUAUCGAGUUUGUAAAGUUGCAUAAAUAGCUGACUUAGAUUUAUUGGGUUGUAACUGUUGAGAUUUUUGUAAGCCUUAACACUUGACAAGUUGUUGAGUGUGGCGGUAAUACCUCCGAUUUAGGUGUAUGCUUCCGCAAU